rnacentral:rRNA from 1 species
ACAGGGAUUGCCUCAGUAACGGCGAGUGAAGCGGCAACAGCUCAAAUUUGAAAUCUGGCCCCCUCGGGGUCCGAGUUGUAAUUUGCAGAGGGUGCUUUGGUGUUGGCGGCGGUCUAAGUUCCCUGGAACAGGACAUCGCAGAGGGUGAGAAUCCCGUAUGUGGUCGCCUGCCUUCGCCGUGUAAAGCCCCUUCGACGAGUCGAGUUGUUUGGGAAUGCAGCUCUAAAUGGGAGGUAAAUUUCUUCUAAAGCUAAAUACCGGCCAGAGACCGAUAGCGCACAAGUAGAGUGAUCGAAAGAUGAAAAGCACUUUGGAAAGAGAGUCAAACAGCACGUGAAAUUGUUGAAAGGGAAGCGCUUGCAGCCAGACUUGCCUGUAGUUGCUCACCCGGGCUCCUGCCCGGGGCACUCUUCUGCAGGCAGGCCAGCAUCAGUUUGGGCGGUCGGAUAAAGGGCUCUGACACGUACUUCCUCCUCGGAGGUUGACAUACAGGGGAGCCGCAAUGCGACCAGCCCGGACUGAGGUCCGCGCAUCUGCUAGGAUGCUGGCGUAAUGGCUGUAAGCGGCCCGUCUUGAAACACGGACCAAGGAGUCUAACAUCUAUGCGAGUGUUUGGGUGUCAAGCCCGAGCGCGCAAUGAAAGUGAACGGAGGUGGGAACCCCUCGGGGCGCACCAUCGACCGAUCCUGAUGUCUUCGGAUGGAUUUGAGUAAGAGCAUAGCUGUUGGGACCCGAAAGAUGGUGAACUAUGCUUGAAUAGGGUGAAGCCAGAGGAAACUCUGGUGGAGGCUCGCAGCGGUUCUGACGUGCAAAUCGAUCGUCAAAUUUGGGCAUAGGGGCGAAAGACUAAUCAAC